rnacentral:tRNA from 1 species
GCUUCUUUAGUUCAAUUGGUAGAACAAUGCCUUCGUAAGGCAUCGGUCGUUGGUUCGAAUCCGACAGGAAGCU